UCCAUCACCGUCCCCACGUUCUCCUCCCUCCGCCUCUCGCUCUGCGCACAUCCCCAUGCCCACGCCGAGCGCUUGCGCCUCACCACCCCCGUCGCAGCCGCGGCCGUGGCGGCGUCGACGACCUCCCCCGACUUUCCCGCCGUGGGCGCCGUCCUGGGGAAGCCCACAGUGCUCGUGGGUAGUGGCCGAGAAGAUCGGAGCCGCGGGGUUCAUGCUGAAGGAGGUGGUGCGAUGUCCAGCUCCCAGGUCGUCGUCCUCACGCUCCUGGAGUUUUGGUCAGUGAGAUGUUCGUCUUCGUGCUCAGCCUCGUCCUCGAGUCGUCGCGCAAACAGCGAGAGCAGCGUGGGUCUCAUCAUCAGGAUCACACCAACAGGGACGGAGAUCUGUCGUCGAAGACCACCUGACUGUUUCUCAUGGCAGGCUUGCUUGCACUAGCUUGGCACAAUAAGCCACUUCAGGCUUCAGUCGGUUAUGUGAUCACCGGAACAUUAUGGGCUCUAGAGUAGGACUUUUGAGGUAUUUUGAUGCCAAAAUUUUUAGACAUGCCAUCAUUGAAGUUGCUCCGGUCUUUACAAGAUUUACAGAGCUUCAACUAAGUCAACUUGUUGAGUCGCUUGUUACAUAUCUUUUGCAUAUGGGAAAAUAGUAGAUAAGAAAUGCUAGGCGAUGGUGCAUGCAUGAUGAAGCUGCUGUCCAUUAUAUUGACAUGAUUGAUCAGACCACGCUUGGUCACCGGAUGAUCAAGAAACAAUUCAACAAGACUCCAAGAGCUGGCUGGCAAAUCGAUUGCUUGGAACAGAGCUUGGCUUCGAUUCUUUGCAUUUUGCAAGAAUCGAUUACCAAGAUAAGAAAAGGCGUAAAGCUGGCAAAGGCUUGAGGUUAUAUGGCGUGGCUCAAGAACUUUCGGUUCAUCUUCACAGAUAUUUACAAAUGUAUUUCGUGUCGAUUAUAGCCCUCCAGAUGGCUUUGGCUUUGAAGUUUUAGAUGAAAAUAUCUUGCCUGUCCAGGAUGACAUGCCGAUGUUUGACUAUAAUGUUGAAGAACAAGUUAAUGAUUUUGUUGCUGCAGCCAUAGAACAGAAUCUUGGUUCCGGAAUAUGGACAAACUUAUCUAUCGCGUGAACAAGGAUGCACGUAAAAUAGAAUUUUUAGUAGGUAGGAGGAGUUCCUUAGGGCUGUUCACGACCAGCUUGGAAGACCCAAUGGCAAUUGCCCAGCAUCAUGAUGCGGUCUCAGGUAUAGCAAAACAACACACGACAGAUGACUACUCGAAAUGCCUUGCUCUUGGAGCAUCUAAGAAUGAAAGCAUUAAUGGUAUAUAGUUGGAUAUUUCAUUCAGAGAGGCUCAAGUGAUAGCUGCAAGUAGUUCUACCUUGUGCCCAGUUUUCUUGUUCUUUUAGGUCAAUGAAAGUUCCCAUUUUUGUGGCGUUGCUUAGAUGGUUGGUCCUUUCCUCAAAAAAAAAAGAUGGUUGGUCCUGUUGACUACCAAAAUGACUUGAACUUUUGGUGCAUGGACAAAUGGACUAGAAGCUUUCCUGUAACGUGGCACAUCAUAAGAUGUUGGUUGAUUCUCCUGAAAGCAGAUUUUAUUUUACUUUAACCAAAGGAGAACCAAGUUGGCUGUCGUCUCCCACUGUGGCACUAUUUUUUGGGUUAAAAGUAUAACACCAUCGUGAGUUGAAACUCUUGAGACAUAGAGAUAAAAACCAAUAAAACUCACAUCCGACGUGAUUAGCAUGACCAUUACUCAUCAAAAAUAGUUGAAAUAAAUUCUUCACUCCAAUCUAAUCCAAAUACCAGAUCUUCAUAAGAAGAGCAUGCCAAUGACAUUGUUUUGGCAAUCAGUUCAUGGUUACACGACACUACUAUGACAGACUUAUUUUGAAACAUAGAACAAUGCUUAUUCAACAUUAUUAUACAAUCAAGAUCCUAACUUUUUGGGGGGGUUGCAACAAUGGAGAGUGGAGACAACAUGGAGACCUGAGCUGAGCUUAACCCGCAAAAGAUCAUACACCAUUCUGUGAUGCUUCACAAGGUUCCGCACCUCAAAUUUUGGUGAAACUGCCUUGUUGUUGUCUUCAUAUCUAGCGCACUGGCAUCCCAUGUAGACUGCAGUUUUUGUCAAAAAUGAUUUUUUUUGAAUAAGUAGACAUUAUAUCCUUCAAGAUUUUUAUAUGGAAAUCCUAAAUUGUGGGCAUAUUGAUUUUUACUCUAUUUCUUAAAUGUAAAGUUGUAAACUUGAAUCACCUAGAAGGAACCGUGUUAAGAAGAAAUAAGCAACUAUGUCUUUUCUUCUGGAAAGAUAAAAUGUGUUUAUAUUUGAAAGCUAGAAACAUAGCUUUCUAUUAUGUCACAUCAGUCUAAACCAGAAUUUAAUCAUUUUUUAUAAUGCACGUGCAAUGAGAUAAAACCAAAACACCUUAUAAUUUGGAAUAGAGACUUAACAUUUUGUUGGCUGGGACAUUGGGCUAUAUUUUGCAGCCUCCUCACUUGGCACAGAUAACUUCAUUUGUUUUCCAGAGACUGUAUUAAUACUUUGCAGGAAUAAACAUUGUGUCUUGUUAUCCAUUGCAAUAUACAACACUUAAGCCCUUGGCUGAUAGAGUGAUUGUAAAGAUUAACUCUUCCGAGGAGAAGACAACUGGUGGAAUUUUGCUUCCAACGACUGCUCAGUCUAGACCUCAGGGUGGCAAGGUAGUUGCUAUUGGAAAAGGAAUGAUAAUUGGGGACAAUAAAGUUGAUGUCAACAUUUAGUAAUAACUAUAAGCUCUCUGUGAGCCAAUUCUUGAGAUGAUGUCCAACAUGCUCAUUUAAGUUGUGCCUAAGUUGGUGUCAGAAAUACGUCAAGGAAAAAUGUCGAACAACUCAGAAGAUAAAUUCAAGAACUGGUUGCUUCAACAAGAGUCUGUCCAUGAGGAUGGCAUGCAACAUUACUUGCCCUUCGAUUGAGAUAGGUGGCUACGGUGAUGCUUUGUUGAACCUGAUAUACGCAUCUCCAUCAAGCCAGUUCGAAGAGCUCAGUUUAGAAUGUGAGCUAGAUGCUACAGGCAAUCAUUCUAGAGUGAAGGAUGCUCAAGUUCAUGGCUCACCUAUACCUGAGAGUAAUGGAAGAUUAUCGACAACUGCUCAGACUAAAAUGAUGUCCACAGUCUCAGAAGAUGCAAUUCUUGUUGGCUCAUCUUUCAGAUACCAAAGUAGCCUAGGUAACAACAAUAAGAGGGUUGGGCUUUUUGAUAUGGGUGAUGGAAGUAGUGAGCCUGCUGCUGAGGACAACAAUCAAAUGCAUCAGGUCUAUCAUGGGUUUUAUUCUGCAUACGAUAAUACAACUCUACUAUAUGAGAUCCUGAAGUCUAUUAAAUGGGCAAGAAAAACAUAUGUAAAUCGACCUGUAAAUGUUGUUGGACACUCCAUUGGAGGGGAUCUAGCUUCAUUUUGUGCCCUUGAUCUAUUUGACGUUGAGCUCAUGACUUUUGGACAGCCUCGGUUAGGCAAUCCUGCAUUUGUUGUAUGCCUUGGCUAACAAGUCCCAAGAACAAUCCAUGUGACCCAUAAAAACGAUAUUGUGCCGCAAUUACCACCGUAUUAUUAUUACUUAAGUAAAUGGACAUACCACCACUUCGCUAGAGAGGUUUGACUUCAUGAGAGCAUAGAUGGAAAUGUAGUUGCCAGAAAUGAGAUUGUAUGUGAUGAUUCUGGUGAGGACCCGACCUAUAGCAGAAGUGGGUCAUGGGAUGAGCGUAGCAGAUAAUCUUGAGUACUACAGUGUCACACUACAUGUUGACUCAAGGGGAACCUGUCAGUUCGUGAUUGGUACAGCCAACCAAGUAUACAACUACAUUCGUGAAGUUGAUGGAUCCAUCAUCUUGUUAAGAUAUAUAUGCAAGAACCAUGAGCUCUAGAAUCAAUGUGACUUUGUAUGCCACGAAAUGCACCCUUGUACAAUAUUUUUAUUUUCAAUUUGUGUACAGCUCAUGAAAUACUGUUGUGUACAACUCAUGAAAUACUGGGCUCUCCAGAGGGUAAGGACUAAGGAGAGACUCACCUUUUUAAAUGCACCCCUUUGACCAA